UACGUAGUGUGCAAGCGUUGUCCGGAAUUAUUGGGCGUAAAGAGCUCGUAGGCGGUUUGUCGCGUCGAAUGUGAAAACCCGGGGCUCAACUCCGGGCCUGCAUUCGAUACGGGCAGACUAGAGUUCGGUAGGGGAGACUGGAAUUCCUGGUGUAGCGGUGAAAUGCGCAGAUAUCAGGAGGAACACCGGUGGCGAAGGCGGGUCUCUGGGCCGAUACUGACGCUGAGGAGCGAAAGCGUGGGGAGCGAACAGG
rnacentral:rRNA from 1 species